GACGAACGCUGGCGGCGUGCUUAACACAUGCAAGUCGAACGGAGUGGCGAACGGGUGAGUAACACGUGGGUGACCUCCCCUGCACUUCGGGAUAAGCCUGGGAAACUGGGUCUAAUACCGGAUAGUGUGGGAUGGGCGCGCGGCCAAUCAGCUUGUUGGUGGGGUAUUGGUCUACCAAGGCGGCGACGGGUAGCCGGCCUGAGAGGGUGGACGGCCACAGUGUGACUGAGACAGGGGCCGGACUCCUACGGGGGGCAGCAGUGGGGAACAUUGCACAAUAGGCGGAAGCCUGAUGCAGGGACGCCGCGUGGGGGAGGACGGCCUUCGGGGUGUAAACGUCUUUGACCAUCGACGCGGUAGAUGGAGAAGAAGCACCGGCUAACUACGUGCCAGCAGCCGCGGUAAUUC
rnacentral:rRNA from 1 species